GCCCUCAAACGCCGUUACCUAGGUGCUUCGUCCUCCCCUCCACCCCCGUCAAGAGCUCUCCCAAGUCCCAAGUGCCGGCACACACCGCCACCUCGCCGCGCUCUACAGGGUUGCCGUGCCUCCGCCCCGGUAUGGUCGACCGCGCCACGGCGAGCAACUCAACUAGAAAAUACUUUGCCACAACGGUGAUGAAUUUCCACCCAGUGGUUGCUGGCUAUCAAUACGCACGACCUCCUUGCGCACAUCGCCAGCUUUGAUUACCGGCCCGGGAUGAUAGACGAGCUCGACGCGCAGAUGGGGUUCGUCGUGGGCGGAACCAUUCUCAUGCUACUCACUGUCGUCUUCUAUGAGAUUCAGGUGAAGAGUAGGUAGCCCAGGAGGAGGACUACUACGAGGAGUACGUGGAAGUCUAGGUGGCGUCUCCCAGUCAGCUUGUUGGCGUCAAAAUAAUAUUAGUUCGCUUUAUUGUUAUCAUUUUUUUGUAAGACACUUCUGCUAUGUAAUAAUAUCUGUGACAUUUAUCUCUAUACACUUGGUC